rnacentral:rRNA from 1 species
UCAGGCAAAACGAGUCACGGCACACAGCUCAGUAACACGAGGCUAAUCUGCCCUUAGGACAAGAACAACCCCGGGAAACUGGGGCUAACUCUUGAUAGGCAAAGAACUCUGGAAUGAGUCUUUACCUAAAUAGAUUCACGUUAUCCUCGUGAAUCUGCCUAAGGAUGAGGCCGCGACCGAUCAGGUUGUUGGUGAGGUAAUGGCUCACCAAGCCUUUUACCGGUGCGGGCCGUGGGAGCGGGAGCCCGGAGAUGGGUACUGAGACAAGGACCCAGGCCCUGCGGGGCGCAGCAGUCGCGAAACCUUUGCAAUAAGCGAAAGCUUGACAGGGCUAUCCCGAGUGCCAUCCGCUGAGGAAGGCUUUUACCCAGUCUAGAAAGCUGGGGGAAUAAGGAGAGGGCAAGUCUGGUGUCAGCCGCCGCGGUAAUACCAGCUCUUCGAGUGGUGUGGAUGUUUAUUGGGCCUAAAGCAUCCGUAGCUGGCUAGGUCAGUCCCUUGUUAAAUCCACCGAAUUAAUCGUUGGAUCGCGGGGGAUACUGCUUGGCUAGGGGACGAGAGAGGCAGACGGUAUUUUCGGGGUAGGGGUGAAAUCCUAUAAUCCCGGGAAGACCACCAGUGGCGAAGGCUGUCUGCUAGAACGCGCCCGACGGUGAGGGAUGAAAGCUGGGGGAGCGAACCGGAUUAGAUACCCGGGUAGUCCCAGCUGUAAACGAUGCAGACUAGGUGUUUGGACGGCCACGUGCCGUUCUAGUGCCGCAGGGAAGCUGUUAAGUCUGCCGCCUGGGGAGUACGAUCGCAAGAUUGAAACUUAAAGGAAUUGGCGGGGGAGCACCACAAGGGGUGAAGCUUGCGGU